AUUGAACGCUGGCGGCAGGCCUAACACAUGCAAGUCGAACGAGUGGCGGACGGGUGAGUAAUGUCUGGGAAACUGCCUGAUGGAGGGGGAUAACUACUGGAAACGGUAGCUAAUACCGCAUACCAUCGGAUGUGCCCAGAUGGGAUUAGCUAGUAGGUGGGGUAAAGGCUCACCUAGGCGACGAUCCCUAGCUGGUAUGAGAGGCUGACCAUCCCCACUGGAACUGCGACACGGGCCAUACUCCUCCUUGAAUCAACAAUAUAUAAUAUUGCGCAGUAGGCGAAAGCCUGAUUCAGCCAUGCCGCGUGUAUGAAGAAAACCUUCGGGUUUUAAAGUACUUUCAGCGGGGAGGCGUUACCCGCAGAAGAAGCACCGGCUAACUUCGUGCCAGCAGCCGCGGUAAUAC
rnacentral:rRNA from 1 species